UACGUAGGUGGCGAGCGUUAUCCGGAAUUAUUGGGCGUAAAGAGCGCGCAGGUGGUUGAUUAAGUCUGAUGUGAAAGCCAACGGCUUAACCGUGGAGGGUCAUUGGAAACUGGUCGACUUGAGUGCAGAAGAGGGAAGUGGAAUUCCAUGUGUAGCGGUGAAAUGCGUAGAGAUAUGGAGGAACACCAGUGGCGAAGGCGGCUUCCUGGUCUGUAACUGACACUGAGGCGCGAAAGCGUGGGGAGCAAACAGGAUUAGAUA
rnacentral:rRNA from 1 species